rnacentral:rRNA from 1 species
UACGUAGGGGGCAAGCGUUGUCCGGAUUUAUUGGGCGUAACGAGCGUGUAGGCGGCCAGAUAGGUCCGUUGUGAAAGCCCGAGGCUCAACCUCGGAACUGCCUUCGAUACUGCGGGUCUCGAGUCCGGGAGAGGUGAGUGGAAUUCCUAGUGUAGAGGUGAAAUUCGUAGAUAUUAGGAAGAACACCAGUGGCGAAGGCGGCGCACUGGCCCGGUACUGACGCUGAGGCGCGAAAGCGUGGGGAGCAAACAGG